UGCCUGCAAGGCUCUGAGUCCCCUGCUCCCAAAACUUUAUAUUUUGUGUCUGUGUUUCAUUCCUUUGCUGCCCUGUCAGCAAUAACUGGCACCCAAUGUGGGGCCUUAAGAACCAGACCUGGUUCCUGACAGAAGAAUUGCUUGAAUGACUGAGGUAUAGCAGUGCUGGAAUUUGGGUGGAGGUGAUGGAUGGGCACCAUUUUGAGUUCCUGCUUGAUGACUCAAGCCAUAUCAUGACUCUGGGGAAGAAAAGAAAAUGGCUGUGGGACAUCAAGCCACCAGUGAUGCAGAUGCAGGGGCUGACUCUGAAGGCAACAGUGAUUGGGCUGACACCCCGAACUGGAGAAGCUUGGCAUCCCACCUGAGGUCCUCAGAUGCACAAGAAAAACCCUCUGAGAUCUAAAGCAGAAAGAAGCUGCUUGGUCCAUCUUGUCAGCAUUGAAGAGGCAAAAAGGAGGACAUGUGGGAAAAUGAGUCUUCCAUGUGGCUUAAGCCAUAUCUGGGGUGGUGGCUUGGAAUGCUAAGCCACAUGCCUGCAUGGAAUGCUGUGCAGGCAUGCCUCAUAAAGAUAUGUGUCUUGGAACAUGACAACAACAUUUGCUACUUUCCUGUACCUAGAUUGCUCCUUCUGAUAUGAGACAAGAUGUAAACAUUAGCAAUGCAAAAAGCAACAACUCGCUCAGUUUUCUUCUUCAUACAAAAAUAAAAAGGGGGAUAUGUGGGAAAAUAGCCUAAGCUGGGAAUGUGUUCUUGACUUCCCUAGCACCCACAUUGUUGAUGCAAGAAGCAUGCAAGUUUAGUAUGGUCAGUCCUUAACUUCCCUGUUUUGCUAACUUCCCUAUCUUGCUUUCUCUGGCCUGUUAGUAACUCCCCUAUUUUCUGUGAGAAAGUGAAGCUAAUAAAUAUGCUAUGGAGCAAGUGGAGGUGCUCUUUGCCUGCAAGGCUCUGAGUCCCCUGCUCCCAGAACUUUA